ensembl:lncRNA
CCGUAGCCAACUCCCCCAAACUGGGUGGCCUAAAACGACAGAAAUUUAUCCUCUCACAGUUUUGGAGGCCAGAAAUCCAAGAUCAAGGUGUCGGCAGUACCUCACUCCUCGCGAAGCUGUAGGCUCGAAGAUGUUCAGGAUUGUUCCAUCAUCUCAGUAUCAUCUCACACCUGUCAGAAUGGCUAUCAUUAAGGAGAACACAAAUAACAAGUAUUGGAAAGGACCUGAAGAAAAGAGAAGUCUUCUUACACUGUUGGUGAGAAUGAAACUUGGUACAGCCACUAUGGAAAGCAAUAUGGAGGCUUCUCAAGAAGCUAAAACUAGAACUACCAUAUGACCCAGCAAUUCCACUCCUGGGCAUGUGUGCUAAGUCACUCAGUCCUGUCCAACUCUUUGCAACCCUGUGGACUGUAGCUCACCAGGUUGCUCUGUUCGUG